UACGAAGGGUGCAAGCGUUACUCGGAAUUACUGGGCGUAAAGCGUGCGUAGGUGGUUUGUUAAGUCUGUUGUGAAAGCCCCGGGCUCAACCUGGGAAUUGCAUUUGAGACUGCGUAGCUAGGGUGCGGAAGAGGGAAGCGGAAUUUCCGGUGUAGCGGUGAAAUGCGCAGAUAUCAGGAGGAACACCGGUGGCGAAGGCGGGUUCUCUGGGGAAUGUACUGACGCUGAGGAGCGAAAGCGUCGGGGAGCAAACAGG
rnacentral:rRNA from 1 species